GACGAACGCUGGUGGCGUGCUUAACACAUGCAAGUCGAGCGGAAAGGCCACUUCGGUGGUACUCGAGCGGCGAACGGGUGAGUAACACGUGAGUAAUCUGCCCUUGGCUUCGGGAUAGCCACCGGAAACGGUGAUUAAUACCGGAUAUGACCACUUCGUGCAUGCGAUGGUGGUGGAAAGUUUUUCGGCCAGGGAUGUGCUCGCGGCCUAUCAGCUUGAUGGUGAGGUAAUGGCUCACCAUGGCUUCGACGGGUAGCCGGCCUGAGAGGGUGACCGGUCACACUGGGACUGAGACACGGCCCAGACUCCUACGGGAGGCAGCAGUGGGGAAUAUUGGACAAUGGGCGGAAGCCUGAUCCAGCAACGCCGCGUGAGGGAUGACGGCCUUCGGGUUGUAAACCUCUUUCAGUACCGACGAAGCGCAAGUGACGGUAGGUACAGAAGAAGCACCGGCCAACUACGUGCCAGCAGCCGCGGUAAUACGUAGGGUGCGAGCGUUGUCCGGAAUUAUUGGGCGUAAAGGGCUCGUAGGCGGUUUGUCGCGUCGGGAGUGAAAACCAGGUGCUUAACACCUGGCUUGCUUUCGAUACGGGCAGACUAGAGGUAUUCAGGGGAGAACGGAAUUCCUGGUGUAGCGGUGAAAUGCGCAGAUAUCAGGAGGAACACCGGUGGCGAAGGCGGUUCUCUGGGAAUAUCCUGACGCUGAGGAGCGAAAGUGUGGGGAGCGAACAGGAUUAGAUACCCUGGUAGUCCACACCGUAAACGUUGGGCGCUAGGUGUGGGGUCCAUUCCACGGAUUCCGUGCCGCAGCUAACGCAUUAAGCGCCCCGCCUGGGGAGUACGGCCGCAAGGCUAAAACUCAAAGGAAUUGACGGGGGCCCGCACAAGCGGCGGAGCAUGCGGAUUAAUUCGAUGCAACGCGAAGAACCUUACCUGGGUUUGACAUACACCCUGCCGCUCCAGAGAUGGGGCUUCUUUUGGGGGUGUACAGGUGGUGCAUGGCUGUCGUCAGCUCGUGUCGUGAGAUGUUGGGUUAAGUCCCGCAACGAGCGCAACCCUCGUUCUAUGUUGCCAGCAUGCCCUUCGGGGUGAUGGGGACUCAUAGGAGACUGCCGGGGUCAACUCGGAGGAAGGUGGGGAUGACGUCAAGUCAUCAUGCCCCUUAUGUCCAGGGCUUCACGCAUGCUACAAUGGCCGGUACAAAGGGCUGCGAUCCCGUAAGGGGGAGCGAAUCCCAAAAAGCCGGUCUCAGUUCGGAUUGGGGUCUGCAACUCGACCCCAUGAAGUCGGAGUCGCUAGUAAUCGCAGAUCAGCAACGCUGCGGUGAAUACGUUCCCGGGCCU
rnacentral:rRNA from 1 species